AGAGUUUGAUCAUGGCUCAGAGCGAACGCUGGCGGCGUGCUUAACACAUGCAAGUCGAACGAGUGUAGCAAUACAUUCGUGGCGAACGGGUGCGUAACACGUGGAUAACCUUCCUUGAGGUGGGGAAUAACCCCGCGAAAGCGGGGCUAAUACCGCAUAACAAAGCGAUGGCACAUGCUUUUGCUUUCAAAGGAGCAAUUCGCCACAAGAGGGAUCCGCGGCCGAUUAGCUAGUUGGCGAGGUAACGGCUCACCAAGGCAAUGAUCGGUAGCCGGUCUGAGAGGAUGAUCGGCCACACUGGAACUGAGACACGGUCCAGACUCCUACGGGAGGCAGCAGUGGGGAAUCUUGCACAAUGGGCGAAAGCCUGAUGCAGCAACGCCGCGUGGGGGAUGAAGCUUCUCGGAGCGUAAACCCCUUUCGACCCGGACGAAUGCCCGCAAGGGUUUGACGGUACGGGUAUAAGAAGCCCCGGCUAACUACGUGCCAGCAGCCGCGGUAAGACGUAGGGGGGCCAGCGUUGCUCGGAAUUACUGGGCGUAAAGGGUCCGUAGGCGGUGCGGUAAGUCGGGAGUGAAAUCUCUGGGCUUAACUCAGAGGCUGCUUCCGAAACUACCGUGCUAGAGUGCGAGAGAGGCAAGUGGAAUUGCGGGUGUAGCGGUGAAAUGCAGAUAUCCGCAGGAACAUCCGAGGCGAAAGCGGCUUGCUGGAUCGCAACUGACGCUGAGGGACGAAAGCUAGGGGAGCAAACAGGAUUAGAUACCCCUGUAGUCC
rnacentral:rRNA from 1 species